CCACCAUAUUACCAGUAUUAUCUUCUGUUCUGUAUGAUGAUGAAGAGUUCCCCCAUCCAGACCAAUUUGACCCAUGUCACUUCCUGGAUGAAAGUGGCAACUUUAAGAAGAGCAACUAUUUCAUGCCUUUUUCAGCAGGAAAGCGGAUAUGUGCUGGUGAGAGCCUGGCUCGAAUGGAAUUAUUUCUGUUUUUUACUUCCAUUUUACAGAAUUUUACCUUGAAAUCUCCCAUUGACCCAGAAGAUAUUGACACCACCCCAAUUGCCAGUGCGCUUGGCAAACUGCCCCUCCUAUGAGCUCUGCUUUCUACCUUCCUAAAACAUGUGAAGGACCACCCUUGGUUCCAAUUGCUCUAGAGUUUCCCCAUGUGGUAUGAAGAAGCUGUAUUUAUUCCAUUGCCAUUCCAUUUAAUCCAUUGACAAUGGAAGCCCUCUAUCAUUUCAGCCCACUAUUCCCUUCUCUCAUACUCUAAUACUCCCUUUGACUUUUGCCAAAAUCAUGACUUACUUUUCCCCAAUUCCUGUUUUCCCAGAAAUUCCACGUUCCUGGAAUAUUUAUUCUUGUCUCUCUUCAACUUCACUGAUUGAGAUCCUCUCCACACUUCACAUCACAAUUUAGAUGCCGUAUCUCUGUGACCUUGUUAGCACUUACAAUCUGUAUUUCACAAUUUAAGCCUGAAUUAUAUACCCAUCUUAUGUUG